GAUGAACGCUGGCGGCGUGCCUAACACAUGCAAGUCGAACGUGAAAGACAAAAUGAUUACUUCGGUAUGAUUUUCGUCUGGAAAGUGGCGAACGGGUGAGUAACACGUAGGUUACCUGCCCCAAAGUGGGGGAUAACUACUGGAAACGGUGGCUAAUACCGCAUAGUUCUGCUUUUGCGGGAGCAAAAGCAGGUAAAGCUCUGGCGCUUUGGGAGGGGCCUGCGGCCGAUUAGCUAGUUGGUGGGGUAAUGGCCUACCAAGGCAAUGAUCGGUAGCUGGUCUGAGAGGAUGAUCAGUCACAUGGGAACUGAGACACGGUCCCAACUCCUACGGGGGGCAGCAGUGAGGAAUAUUGCACAAUGGGGGAAACCCUGAUGCAGCAACGCCGCGUGGAGGA
rnacentral:rRNA from 1 species